AUUGAACGCUGGCGGCAGGCCUAACACAUGCAAGUCGAACGAGUGGCGGACGGGUGAGUAAUGUCAGGGAAACUGCCUGAUGGAGGGGGAUAACUACUGGAAACGGUAGCUAAUACCGCAUACCAUCGGAUGUGCCCAGAUGGGAUUAGCGAGUAGGUGGGGUAAAGGCUCACCUAGGCGCCGAUCCCUAGCUGGGCUGAGAGGAUGACCAGCCACACGGUACCUGUGCCACGGUCCAGACGCCUACGGGAGGCAGCAGUGGGGAAUAUUGCACCAUGGGCGCAAGCCUGAUGCAGCCAUGCCGGGUGUAUGAAGAAGGCCUUCGGGUUGUAAAGUACUUUCAGCUGGGAGGCGUUACCCGCAGAAGAAGCACCGGCUAACUCCGUGCCAGCAGCCGCGGUAAUAC
rnacentral:rRNA from 1 species